AAUUUCUUAAUCUUGAGUUCUAAUUGGAUUGUGCUGUGGUCUGAGAGACUGCUUGUUAUGAUUUCAGUUCCUUUGCAUUUGCUGAGGAGUGUUUUCUGAUUAUGUGAUCAAUUUUAGAGGACUCUAACUCAUUCUAUGAGGCCAGCAUCAUCCUGAUACCAAAACCUGGAAGAGAUACAACAAAAAAAGAAAACUUCAGGCCAAUAUCCUUGAUGAACAUUGAUGUGAAUAUAUCACGUCCUUUGCAGGGACAUGGAAGGGGAGCUGGAAGCCAUUAUCCUCAGCAAACUAACACAGGAACAGAAAACCCAACACUGCAUGUUCUCACUUAUAAAUGGGAGCUGAACAAUGAGAAUACAUGGACACUGGGAGGGGAACAACACACACUGGGGCCUGUCGGAGCAGGGGUUGUGGGGAGGGAGAGCAUCAGGAAGAAUAGCUAAUGGAUGCUGAGCUUAAUACCUAGAUGAUGGGAUGAUCUGUUCAGCAAACCUAUGUAUGUUUACCUAUGUAACAAACCUGCACAUCCUGCACAUCUCCCUGAACUUAAAACAAAAGUUGAAGAAAAAAAAGUUUAAAAAGUACAUUCUCAUAAACAAUCAAUCACAAUAUUAACAAAUGUAUUUUUAUCUUAAAAAGGUCUUCAUAUAGAAUUACUAAAAAAAAAAGAAAACAAACUAACUCCUGUGAUGACUUUGAAUAUAUAGGCUAAUGACACGAGCAAUAAUAAAAGUGUUGUCAUUGUUAAUACACUAGAUAAAGAAAAUGUGGUACAUAUACACCAUGAAAUACUAUGCAGCCAUAAAAAGAAAUGAGAUCAUGUCCUUUGCAAGAACACGGAUG
rnacentral:lncRNA from 1 species